AUGAACGCUGGCGGCGUGCCUAAUACAUGCAAGUCGAGCGAACAGACGAGGAGCUUGCUCCUCUGACGUUAGCGGCGGACGGGUGAGUAACACGUGGAUAACCUACCUAUAAGACUGGGAUAACUUCGGGAAACCGGAGCUAAUACCGGAUAAUAUAUUGAACCGCAUGGUUCAAUAGUGAAAGACGGUUUUGCUGUCACUUAUAGAUGGAUCCGCGCCGCAUUAGCUAGUUGGUAAGGUAACGGCUUACCAAGGCAACGAUGCGUAGCCGACCUGAGAGGGUGAUCGGCCACAAUGGAACUGAGACACGGUCCAGACUCCUACGGGAGGCAGCAGUAGGGAAUCUUCCGCAAUGGGCGAAAGCUUGACGGAGCAACGCCGCGUGAGUGAUGAAGGUCUUCGGAUCGUAAAACUCUGUUAUUAGGGAAGAACAAAUGUGUAAGUAACUAUGCACGUCUUGACGGUACCUAAUCAGAAAGCCACGGCUAACUACGUG
rnacentral:rRNA from 1 species